rnacentral:rRNA from 1 species
GAAUGACUCUCGGCAACGGAUAUCUCGGCUCUUGCAUCGAUGAAGAACGUAGCAAAAUGCGAUACGUGGUGUGAAUUGCAGAAUUCCGUGAACCAUCGAGUUUUUGAACGCAAGUUGCGCCCAAUGUCAUUUGACUGAGGGCACGUCUGCCUGGGCGUCACGC